rnacentral:rRNA from 1 species
UAGGGAAUCUUCGGCAAUGGGGGGAACCCUGACCGAGCAACACCGCGUGAGUGAAGAAGGUUUUCGGAUCGUAAAGCUCUGUUGUUAAGGAAGAACGUGUGUGAGAGUGGAAAGUUCACACAGUGACGGUACUUAACCAGAAAGGGACGGCUAACUACGUGCCAGCAGCCGCGGUAAUACGUAGGUCCCGAGCGUUGUCCGGAUUUAUUGGGCGUAAAGCGAGCGCAGGCGGUUAGAUAAGUCUGAAGUGAAAGGCAGUGGCUCAACCAUUGUAGGCUUUGGAAACUGUUUAACUUGAGUGCAGAAGGGGAGAGUGGAAUUCCAUGUGUAGCGGUGAAAUGCGUAGAUAUAUGGAGGAACACCGGUGGCGAAAGCGGCUCUCUGGUCUGUAACUGACGCUGAGGCUCGAAAGCGUGGGGAGCGAACAGGAUUAGAUACCCUGGUAGUCCACGCCGUAAACGAUGAGUGCUAGGUGUUAGGUCCUUUCCGGGACUUAGUGCCGCAGCUAACGCAUUAAGCACUCCGCCUGGGGAGUACGACCGCAAGGUUG